rnacentral:rRNA from 1 species
UACAGAGGUCUCAAGCGUUGUUCGGAUUCAUUGGGCGUAAAGGGUGCGUAGGCGGCGCGGUAAGUCGGGUGUGAAAUCUCGGAGCUUAACUCCGAAACUGCAUUCGAUACUGCCGUGCUUGAGGACUGGAGAGGAGACUGGAAUUUACGGUGUAGCGGUGAAAUGCGUAGAUAUCGUAAGGAAGACCAGUGGCGAAGGCGGGUCUCUGGACAGUUCCUGACGCUGAGGGACGAAAGCAUGGGGAGCGAACAGG